UACGUAGGUGACAAGCGUUGUCCGGAUUUACUGGGCGUAAAGAGCGCGCAGGCGGUCGUUCAAGUCGAGUGUGAAAGCCCCCGGCUCAACUGGGGAGGGUCAUUCGAUACUGAUCGACUCGAAGGCAGGAGAGGGAAGUGGAAUUCCCGGGUGUAGUGGUGAAAUGCGUAGAUAUCGGGAGGAACACCAGUGGCGAAGGCGACUUCCUGGCCUGUUCUUGACGCUGAGGCGCGAAAGCUGGGGGAGCAAACGGG
rnacentral:rRNA from 1 species